rnacentral:tRNA from 1 species
GCGGGCAUAGUUUAAAUAAAACACUAAACUGUGGACUUAGCAACAGGG